rnacentral:rRNA from 1 species
UACGUAGGCAGCGAGCGUUGUUCGGAAUUACUGGGCGUAAAGAGUGUGUAGGCGGUGCUCUAAGUUCGGUGUGAAAUCUCCCGGCUUAACUGGGAGGGUGCGCCGGAAACUGGAGUGCUCGAGCGUGGGAGAGGAAAGCGGAAUUCCUGGUGUAGCGGUGAAAUGCGUAGAUAUCAGGAGGAACACCUGCGGGGUAGACGGCUUUCUGGACCAUUGCUGACGCUGAGACACGAAAGCGUGGGUAGCAAACAGG